GUUUAGACACACCUACUCAUUCAAAGGUUUUUCUUUAUUUUUACUAUUUUCUACAUUUUAGAAUAAUAGUGAAGACAUCGAAACUAUGAAAACAACACAUAUGGAAUUAUGUAGUAACUAAAAAAGUGCUAAACAAAUCAAAAUAUAUUUUAUGUUUGAGAUUCUUCAAAGUUGCCACCCUUUGCCUUGAUGACAGCUUGGACCACGCUUGGCAUUCUCUCAACUAGCUUCACCUGGAAAUCUUUUCCAACAUUCUUGAAUGAGUUCCCACAUAUGCUGAGCACUUGUUGGCUGCUUUUCCUUCACUCUGCGGUCCAACUCAUCCCAAACCAUCUCAAUUGGGUUGAGGUCGGGUGAUUGUGGAGGCCAGGUCAUCUGAUGCAGCACUCCAUCACUCUCCUUCUUGGUCAAAUAGCCCUUACACAGCCUGGAGGUGUGUUGGGUCAUUGUCCUGUUGAAAAAAAAUAUAUAGUCCCACUAAACGCAACCAGAUGGGAUGGUGUAUCGCUGCAGAAUGCUGUGGUAGCCAUGCUGGUUAAGUGUGCCUUGAAUUCUAAAUAAAUCACUGACAGUGUCACCAGCAAAGCACCCCCACACCAUAACACCUCCUCCAUGCUUCACGGUGGGAACCACACAUGCAGAAAUCAUCUGUUCACCUAUUCUGCGUCUCACAAAGACACGGCGGUUGGAACCAAAAAUCUCACAUUUGGACUCAUCAGACCAAAGGACAGAUUUCCACAGGUCUAAUGUCCAUUGCUCGUGUUUCUUGGCCCAAGCAAGUCUCUUCUUAUUAUUGGUGUCCUUUAGUAGUGGUUUCUUUGCAGCAAUUUGACCAUGAAGGCCUAAUUCACACAGUCUCCUCUGGUCAGUUGAUGUUGAGAUGUGUCUGUUACUUGAACUCUGUGAAGCAUUAAUUUGGGCUGCAAUUUCUGAGGCUGGUAACUCUAAUGAACUUACCCUCUGUAGCAGAGGUAACUCUGGGUCUUCCUUUCCUGUGGUUGUCCUCAUGAGAGCCAGUUUCAUCAUAGGGUUUGAUGGUUUUUGCAACUGCACUUGAAGAAACUUUCAAAGUUCUUCAAAUUCUCCGCAUUGACUGACCUUCAUGUCUUAAAGUAAUGAUGGACUGUCGUUUCUCUUUGCUUAUUUGAGCUGUUCUUGCCGUAAUAUGGACCUGGUCUUUUACCAAAUACGGCUAUCUUCUGUAUACCAACCCUACCUUGUCACAACACAACUGAUUGUCUCAAAGCCGUUAAGAAGGAAAGAAAUUACACAAAUUUACUUUUAACAAGGCACACCUGUUAAUUGAAAUGCAUUCCAUGAAGCAUUCCAUUCUCAUGAAGCUAGUUGAGAGAAUGCCAACAGUGUGCAAAGCUGUCAUCAAGGCAAAGGGUGGCUACUUUGAAGAAUCUCAAAUAUAUAAUAUUUUUUUAUUUGUUUAGCAGUUUUUUGGUUUCUACGUGAAUCCAUAAGUGUUAUUUCAUAGUUUUGAUAUCUUCACUAUUAUUCUACAAUGUAGAAAGUUGUAAAAAUAUAGAAAAACCCUUGAAUGAGUAGGUGUGUCCAACAUUUUGACUGAUACUGUGCACAAAAUAUAAACACAACAUGUAAAGUGUUGGUCCCAUGUUUCUUGAGCUAAAUUUUUCAAAGAAAUGUUCCAUACGCACAAAAAACUUUUUUUCUCUAAAAUGUUGUGCACACAUUUUUUUACAUCCCUGUUAGUGAGCAUUUCUCCUUUGUCAAAAUUAUCCAUCCACCUGACAGGUGUGGCAUAUCAAGAAGCUGAUUAAACAGCAUGAUCGUUACACAGGUGCACCUUGUGCUGGGGACAAUAAAAUGCCACUCUAAAAUGUGUAGUUUUGUCACACAACACAAUACCACAGAUGUCUCAAGUUUUGAGAGAGCGUGCAUAUUGGCAUGCUGACUGCAGGAAUGUCCACCAGAGCUGUUGCCAGAGAAUUGAACAUUCAUUUCUCAACCAUAAGCCGCCUCCAACAUCAUUUGAGAGAACCGCAGACAACCGUUGACCACGUGUAUUGCGUCAUGUGGGGGAGCGGUUUGCUGAUGUCAACGUUGUGAACAGAAUGUGCCCCAUGGUGGAGGUGGGGUUAUGGUAUGGGCCCCAUGGUGGAGGUGGGGUUAUGGUAUGGGCCCCAUGGUGGAGGUGGUGUUAUGGUAUGGGGCAGGCAUAAGCUACGGACAACAAACAAAAUUGCAUUUUAUCAAUGGAAAUUUGAAUGCACAGAGAUACCGUGAUGAGAUCCUGAGGCCCAUUGUAAGUAAUAAUAGAAACAUAAAACAUAUAGUCACUUAUUUAGAAAGUAUUCAUACUCCUUGACUUAUUAUACAUUUUGUUGUGUUACAUCCUGAAUUCAAAAAAUAUUAAAUGUAGAUGUAUUUUCUCGCCCAUCUACAUACAAUACCUCAUAAAGACAAAGUGAAAACUUGUUUGUAGCUUUUUUUUGUUGUAAAUUUGUUGCAAAUUAAAUUAAAAAAUAUCUAAUUUACGUAAGUAUUCACUCCCCUGGGUCAAUACGUGUUAGAAUCACUCUUGGCAGCAAAUCACCUUUGGGGCAGCUGCGUGGCCUAGUGGUUAGAGUGUUGGACUAGUAACCAGGAGGUUGCAAGAUCAAAUCUGCAAGUUUGAAUCCCUAAGCUGACAAGGUAAAAAUCUGUUGUUCUGAACAAGGCAGUUAACCCACUGUUCCUAGGCUUUCAAUGAAAAUAAGAAUUUGUUCUUAACUGACUUGCCUGGUUAAAUAAAAACCUUUGGCAGUGAUUACAGAUAUGAGUCUUUCUGGGUCUAAGAGCUUUGCACAUUAUUAUUUUUUAAAUUCUUCAAGCUCUGUCAAGUUGGUUUUUGAUCAUUGCUAGACAGCAAUUUAAGUCAAAACUGUAACUCGGCCACUCAGGAACAUUCAGUGUCAUCUUGGAAAGCAAGUCCAGUGUAGAUUUGGCGUUGUGUUUUAGGUUAUUGACCUGCUGAACAGAGAAUUAGUCUUUGUGUCUGUUGGAAAUCAGACUGAAACAGGAUUUUGCCUGUGCUUAGCUUUAUUCCGUUUCUUUGUAUCCUUAAUGCCGAUGACAAGCAUACCCAUAACAUGAUGCAGCCACCACCAUGCUUAAACGUAUGAAGAGUGGUACGGAGUAAUGUGUUGUAUUCACCCCAAACAUAACACUUUGUGUUCAGAACAUAAAGUUUGUUUCUUAGCCACAUUUCUUUGCAGUUUUCCUUUAGUGCCUUGUUGCCACAUUUUUUGCAGUAAUACUUCAGUGCCUUGUUGCAAACAGGAUGGAUGUUUUGGAAUAUUUGUAUUCUGUACAGGCUUCCUUCUUUUCACUCUGUCAUUUAGGUUAGUAUUGUGAAGUAACUACAAUGUUGUUGAUCCAUCUUCAGUUCUCUCCUACCACAGCCAUUAAACUCUGUAACUGUUUUAAAGUCACCAUUGGCCUCAUGGUGAAAUCCCUGAGCGGUUUCCUUCCUGUCCGGCAACUGAGUUAGAAGAUACGCCUAUAUCUUUGUAGUGACUGGGUGUAUUGAUACACCAUCCAAAGUGUAAUUGACUUCACCAUGCUGAAAGUGACUCAAUGUCUGCUUUUUUAAAUUGACCCGUCUACCAACAGGUGCCCUUCUUUGCGAGGCAUUGGAAAACCUCCCUGGUCUUUAUGGUUGAAUCUGUGUUUGAAAUUCCCUGCUCGACUGAGGGACCUUACAGAUAAUUGUGUGUGUGGGGGUACAGAGAUGAAGUCCAACUUAUUAUGUGACUAGUUAAGCACAUUACUACUCCUGAAAUGAUUUAGGCUUCCCAUAACACUUUUUGACUGACUCAAGACAUUUCACUCUCUGCAGUAAAUCAUCUGCUCUACAGUAAAUCAUCCGCUCUGCUGUAAAUCAUCUGCUCUACAGUAAAUCAUCCUCUCUGCAGUAAAUCAUCUGCUCUACAGUAAAUCAUCCGCUCUGCAGUAAAUCAUCCGCUCUACAGUAAAUCAUCCUCUCUGCAGUAAAUCAUCCGCUCUGCAGUAAAUCAUCCUCUCUGCAGUAAAUCAUCCGCUCUACAGUAAAUCAUCC
rnacentral:lncRNA from 1 species